AAAAAGUCCAGUUUUUAUAUAGCCUGCUGAUUUUUGUUCAUGGUAUUCAGCAGCAACUAAAUGUUUUGCAAAAAGAUAAAUAAAUAUGUUUGAUAUCUAAAUGUUUGACAUGUUUUUAAACCACAUUGGAAUCGAAACUGGGAAUCCAUAAGAAUCAGAAUCGGAAUUGGUAUUGAUAAAAUUCAAACGAUACCCAACCCUAGCUACAGUCCUGCUGAGUUCAGCUUCAACCCUAGUUAAAAACACCUGAUCCAGUGAAUCAUUUCAUUUAGGAUUGCUUGAAAACAGAUAGAUGUGUUGGUGCACAGUUGGAAUUAAACACGUGUAGGGGUGUGGCCCUUCUGAAGCACCACCCCAGUCUAGCAUGGUACUCUAUAUAUAUAUAUAUAUAAGUGUUUUGUGUAGCCUAGAGUGAGCCGUGGUCUUGAGUGAGCUGCGGCCGGCUUGAGUGAGCAGAGGCGGGCGGAUUCUGCGAAGGAGCGUACCUUGUGGGUGUGGCAACCACAUGUGACGACCCCGGGCUGGCCUCUGCUUCGUCCAUGGUGAAAGCCCAUUCUGCGAUUAUCGUCCUCUUUUGGAAUGCCAAACAAAGUAGUUUCUCUUUCACAGUGAAACACACAGUGUUUAUACGACAUGGCGGCGAGCAACAACAAUACUACAACGAGAAUAAAAGUGAAGCUUGCUGUAUUCUAUGUAUUGUAUGCUGUGAUCUCAGAUGAACAAUCAAGAACAAUCUCUUCACUUAACCACACACUCCACAGAAACUGGCGGAUUAUAAUAACGUAUAUGUAAACAAGCAAAAUUGUAUGUAACAUUUUGGUGGCAUAUUAAAAGUAAAAAUGUCAAUAUGUAUUGUAAUAUUUUUGAUUUGAUGAUAUUUUUAUUUUUUUUUAAUACAACUAAGCUACAUCAUAAUUAUUCAACCUCUAUUUAACAUUGCUGUUUUAAGUGACUUGUUUUGGGGUACAAAAUUGCAUUGAAACACAAUUAAGGGAAACUUUUGAAAAACCAAUAACAGAGCUUAAUAAGCUUGAGUUGCUGUUUAGCCCAUACAUGUGCCAUAAAGUUGAGCAGUAAAUUUAGGUAAGUCAAAAGAGCUCACACAAAAACACUAGAAAAUAAAUUCUUUCAUGGACUUAAAUGCAGGAGAAGAUGGGGGAAGAUGUCUUCUGAACUACAAUGUGGAUUUACUCCUAAAUUUAGAUAUGGAGGUGAGGAAUAAUACAAAAAAAAUAAAAUGUCAAAUUCAGCCCUCAGUAUACUUGAUCUAAUCCAUCACUAUUUCAAUUACAA
ensembl:lncRNA